rnacentral:lncRNA from 1 species
CUUGGAAUUCCUGCCAGAGGUGAAUGGAUGAAGAUAUAGCUGGUUUAACUUUGUAUUGGGACUCUGAUAUGCUCCCUUAUUGUCACUGCUUCCAUGGACCCUUUAGGACAGCAAGAGUGCAGUCUGAUGUGUGCUCUGGUGUGUGUUGAGUUACAACUGUGGCAUGGAUCAGUUUUGCCUGGCUUGAACACAAGCUAGUUGACUUCUUAUUGCACGUAUACAUUGAGACUUCACAGUCAUUAACUCACUAAACUUAGCAAAUAUAUGUUAUUUAUUUGAAACUAUGAGACUGAAAGGCA